GUGUUCACUUCUUUAGUACGUAUACUAAAAUUGGAACGACCAGAGAAAAUGAGCAUGGCCUCUGCGCAAGGAUGACAUGCAAAUACACAGAGCAUUCCAUAUUUUU
rnacentral:snRNA from 1 species